rnacentral:rRNA from 1 species
AUUGAACGCUGGCGGCAGGCCUAACACAUGCAAGUCGAGCGGGGUUUUCGGACCUAGCGGCGGACGGGUGAGUAAUGCGUAGGAAGCUACCCGAUAGAGGGGGAUACCAGUUGGAAACGACUGUUAAUACCGCAUAAUGUCUACGGACCAAAGUGUGGGACCUUCGGGCCACAUGCUAUCGGAUGCGCCUACGUGGGAUUAGCUAGUUGGUGAGGUAAUGGCUCACCAAGGCGAAGAUCCCUAGCUGGUUUGAGAGGAUGAUGCGCCACACUGGAACUGAGACACGGUCCAGACUCCUACGGGAGGCAGCAGUGGGGAAUAUUGGACAAUGGGCGCAAGCCUGAUCCAGCCAUGCCGCGUGUGUGAAGAAGGCCUUCGGGUUGUAAAGCACUUUCAGUAGGGAGGAAGCGUUGUGUGUUAAUAGUACACAGCGUUGACGUUACCUACAGAAGAAGCACCGGCUAACUCUGUGCCAGCAGCCGCGGUAACAC